UACGUAGGGAGCAAGCGUUAUCCGGAUUUAUUGGGUGUAAAGGGUGCGUAGACGGAGAAGCAAGUUAGUUGUGAAAUCCCUCGGCUUAACUGAGGAACUGCAACUAAAACUACUUCCCUUGAGUACUGGAGAGGAAAGUGGAAUUCCUAGUGUAGCGGUGAAAUGCGUAGAUAUUAGGAGGAACACCAGUGGCGAAGGCGACUUUCUGGACAGUAACUGACGUUGAGGCACGAAAGUGUGGGGAGCAA
rnacentral:rRNA from 1 species